rnacentral:misc_RNA from 1 species
UACGUAGGGUGCAAGCGUUGUCCGGAAUUAUUGGGCGUAAAGAGCUCGUAGGCGGUCUGUCGCGUCGGCUGUGAAAUCCCGAGGCUCAACCUCGGGUCUGCAGUCGAUACGGGCAAACUGGAGUGUUGCAGGGGAGACUGGAAUUCCUGGUGUAGCGGUGAAAUGCGCAGAUAUCAGGAGGAACACCGGUGGCGAAGGCGGGUCUCUGGGCAACAACUGACGCUGAGGAGCGAAGGCCAGGGUAGCGAAAGGG